CUUUCUUUCUUGUUUAUUUUUUUCAGUUUCUUCCCUCUCUCUCUCUCUCUCUCUCUCUAAGCUCCGAGAGCUUCUCUCUAACUUUCACCUCAUUUCCUUCACAAAUCAAACCCCAAAAACCAUAUAUUUGGAAUCCUUGAGACCUAACGAACUCAAUGGUACCCUUGCAUGCGCCAUCUGAGCACCGUGGGUUUUUCUGCCAUUGAAGCCGAGAGCUUCAAAGCUCUAAAACUCGAACCCAGGUGAAAUUGCUAGUGGAGACUUCCUUAAUCAUUUUCCGCACAAUUCUGCUGCUUCGGAGUAUCUGUGAGUGGACCACCUUCGAAAAUUGCAUGUUUUAUUGAUAGAAAUGCAUAAUUUAAUAGCAUGCCUUGCAGAAUUAUUGAUUUGAGGAAUACUUUACAGGAAGCAUGAUGAUUUGAUUAUACGUGAUUAUAUAUAUAUAUAUAUAUGUUUUGAAUUAUUUCCAUUAUAUCGUAUUUUCUAUAGAACCCUCAUUCUGGCAGACUAUCUGAUCGAUGAUGAUAGGAUGCUAAGAAUGUGUUUCAAAUGACUUUCGAACACCUCUUCGUAGUAUAGAGGAUCGAUGAAUUUAUGCUACGAAGUUGUAUUUUAGAGAUGAAUUAUGUUUUGUGCGUACCUAGUGAACACUAUGCCGCUUGGGGCGAGGAUCUGGUGUUGGCAUUAAGGCCGGGAGAAAUAAUCCCUAGCGAAAGGCUGAGGGACACGGAGACAGGCAUUGGGCCGGGAGGGAGAUAUCUCUGGCUACGGGCACAGAGACUGAGGUGCAGGCAUUGGGCCGGGAGUAUUGUUAUUCAGUGCACUCACUAGCAGCACAACUUGUGUUAUGCUUCCUGAUACGAUUUCUGAUAUGAUUUUUGAUAUGAUUUUCUGAGAUUGAUUUGCAGAUGGAUAUAUGAAUUGUUUUUAUGGCAUGCUAGAGUUUUCUGAAAAGCUUAUCACUUAUUAUUCUAGUAGUUUUCAUAAUUAAACUGUGGGGGUUAGUAUGUUCAUAACUGUUUUCGUACUACGUAUGUAUAUAAACUUGGUCCACUCACCCUUGUUUUGCGCCCCCAUUCAGGUCUUAGAAACGAGGCAUAGAAUCCCGGCAUUAAGGUACUUCCACAGCGGCAUCUUCAAGUCCUCUCGGGGUAGGACCCACUCCUUUGUUCAUUCAAUCUUAUCUUAAUUCUUGUUAGUGACUAGGUUUAGCUGUAUGCUCUGAACACGUUCCUAAAUUGUUAAUUCAUUGUUUUUAAAUUCAUAACCCGUAUUUAUUUCUUA